AGUAUUUGGUCGUAGACCCGAAACCAGGUGAUCUACCCUUGGUCAGGUUGAAGUUCAGGUAACACUGAAUGGAGGACCGAACCGACUUACGUUGAAAAGUGAGCGGAUGAACUGAGGGUAGCGGAGAAAUUCCAAUCGAACCUGGAGAUAGCUGGUUCUCUCCGAAAUAGCUUUAGGGCUAGCCUCAAGUGAUGAUUAUUGGAGGUAGAGCACUGUUUGGACGAGGGGCCCCUCUCGGGUUACCGAAUUCAGACAAACUCCGAAUGCCAAUUAAUUUAACUUGGGAGUCAGAACAUGGGUGAUAAGGUCCGUGUUCGAAAGGGAAACAGCCCAGACCACCAGCUAAGGUCCCAAAAUAUAUGUUAAGUGGAAAAGGAUGUGGCGUUGCCCAGACAACUAGGAUGUUGGCUUAGAAGCAGCCAUCAUUUAAAGAGUGCGUAAUAGCUCACUAGUCGAGUGACACUGCGCCGAAAAUGUACCGGGGCUAAACAUAUUACCGAAGCUGUGGAUUGUCCUUUGGACAAUGGUAGGAGAGCGUUCUAAGGGCGUUGAAGCAUGAUCGUAAGGACAUGUGGAGCGCUUAGAAGUGAGAAUGCCGGUGUGAGUAGCGAAAGACGGGUGAGAAUCCCGUCCACCGAUUGACUAAGGUUUCCAGAGGAAGGCUCGUCCGCUCUGGGUUAGUCGGGUCCUAAGCUGAGGCCGACAGGCGUAGGCGAUGGAUAACAGGUUGAUAUUCCUGUACCACCUAUAAUCGUUUUAAUCGAUGGGGGGACGCAGUAGGAUAGGCGAAGCGUGCGAUUGGAUUGCACGUCUAAGCAGUAAGGCUGAGUAUUAGGCAAAUCCGGUACUCGUUAAGGCUGAGCUGUGAUGGGGAGAAGACAUUGUGUCUUCGAGUCGUUGAUUUCACACUGCCGAGAAAAGCCUCUAGAUAGAAAAUAGGUGCCCGUACCGCAAACCGACACAGGUAGUCAAGAUGAGAAUUCUAAGGUGAGCGAGCGAACUCUCGUUAAGGAACUCGGCAAAAUGACCCCGUAACUUCGGGAGAAGGGGUGCUCUUUAGGGUUAACGCCCAGAAGAGCCGCAGUGAAUAGGCCCAAGCGACUGUUUAUCAAAAACACAGGUCUCUGCUAAACCGUAAGGUGAUGUAUAGGGGCUGACGCCUGCCCGGUGCUGGAAGGUUAAGAGGAGUGGUUAGCUUCUGCGAAGCUACGAAUCGAAGCCCCAGUAAACGGCGGCCGUAACUAUAACGGUCCUAAGGUAGCGAAAUUCCUUGUCGGGUAAGUUCCGACCCGCACGAAAGGCGUAACGAUUUGGGCACUGUCUCAACGAGAGACUCGGUGAAAUCAUAGUACCUGUGAAGAUGCAGGUUACCCGCGACAGGACGGAAAGACCCCGUGGAGCUUUACUGUAGCCUGAUAUUGAAAUUCGGCACAGCUUGUACAGGAUAGGUAGGAGCCUUUGAAACGUGAGCGCUAGCUUACGUGGAGGCGCUGGUGGGAUACUACCCUAGCUGUGUUGGCUUUCUAACCCGCACCACUUAUCGUGGUGGGAGACAGUGUCAGGCGGGCAGUUUGACUGGGGCGGUCGCCUCCUAAAAGGUAACGGAGGCGCUCAAAGGUUCCCUCAGAAUGGUUGGAAAUCAUUCAUAGAGUGUAAAGGCAUAAGGGAGCUUGACUGCGAGACCUACAAGUCGAGCAGGGUCGAAAGACGGACUUAGUGAUCCGGUGGUUCCGCAUGGAAGGGCCAUCGCUCAACGGAUAAAAGCUACCCCGGGGAUAACAGGCUUAUCUCCCCCAAGAGUUCACAUCGACGGGGAGGUUUGGCACCUCGAUGUCGGCUCAUCGCAUCCUGGGGCUGUAGUCGGUCCCAAGGGUUGGGCUGUUCGCCCAUUAAAGCGGUACGCGAGCUGGGUUCAGAACGUCGUGAGACAGUUCGGUCCCUAUCCGUCGUGGGCGUAGGAAAUUUGAGAGGAGCUGUCCUUAGUACGAGAGGACCGGGAUGGACAUACCUCUGGUGUACCAGUUGUCGUGCCAACGGCAUAGCUGGGUAGCUAUGUGUGGACGGGAUAAGUGCUGAAAGCAUCUAAGCAUGAAGCCCCCCUCAAGAUGAGAUUUCCCAACUUCGGUUAUAAGAUCCCUCAAAGAUGAUGAGGUUAAUAGGUUCGAGGUGGAAGCAUGGUGACAUGUGGAGCUGACGAAUACUAAUCGAUCGAAGACUUAAUCA
rnacentral:rRNA from 1 species